UCUGUACAUCUUAAAUAGGACAGGGUAGAAAACUUUUGCCAGUCCUCAACCUCCCAGCAGGAAGGCUAGGAAAAGUGAUGGUGUUCAGUGAGAUUUUUUCCAGUCAAUUGCAGGAAAAAGAUGUUUUUUUCCUCCCUCUCUGGGAAAUGUUUCACCAAAUGUUUCCUCUUUCUUCAUGCUUGUUUCCAUGAAACUCUUCAUGGAGGCUUCACCCUCAUUUUACUAAAGAAUACAAAACAGGAAAGGCUGGAAAAUUGCUGUCACACAAAUUAUCUCCUUUUGCUACUUCCUUUUUGCUAAAAUGGAUGAAAGUCAGGUGAUUCAGGACCUGUUCCCACAGACUUCACUGAGAAGCAGAGGUAGCAGAAGACUCGUCCUACCAGUGAGGUAGACACACCCUUCCAAUGAAGAAGUCACACUCUACCAAAGAAGAAGUGGCCCUAAACCAACAGCAGCAUGAGCCAUGGUAGUAGAGACUGGUGAGGCUGAGCAGCAAUCAGGCAGUAGUUCAGGACACUGCUCUGUUUACAUCUGGUCUUGUUCUUCUUCAUGUGAAUCCUGAACACAGCAAUUAAGUUGUUGAGUUUGUGCUAAUUUGACUAUAAUGCACUGUAAAUUCCCAUCAGUAGUGUAGUGUCUUGAGGUGAACAGUCAUUGGGAAAAUGUGAUGUGCAGCAUUUCUUAAGUAAAGCAAAUUACUGCGAAAUUGCUGCCUGUCCUGGUGGCAAAGAGGCAAGACACAUAUUUCUUCCCUUGUCCUGAUGUUAUACCAUGUCCAUCGAGAUUUAGUGGAGUAAUUCCUGCUUCAAACUGGUGUGAAACUAUGUUCAGGUUCAUGAUACCAGAAAAUGUAAACAUUACUGCUCAACUCCAGUAUCUCUCCUUCUCCACCUCCCCCCCAAGUCUUUUCUUUCUUAUGUUUGAAGCACCUAAAUUUCCAGUUCUGGGACCACCUGUCUUCUACCAUCAUCCCCAGCACAUGCAGCCGUUGCACCCAGCACCCCAUGCACAGAGCACCAGUCCCCUAGGGAUCUGUGGAUGUGGGAGGGUGGGCUCAGUAGAAUGAAGAGCAUUUUACAAGGAUGCCCAGGCUUGGCAGUGUGGAAGAUGAAAAUUAUCCCCCAAAAUAAAAUCAUCAGACUAGCUCAGAAGGUUUGGAAGCAAAAUGAAGCUAUGUAUUUACAGCAAGCUGAAAUCUAAGAGCAUAAAAUGCAAUGUACAUGUACAAAAAUAUAUUUACAAGUAUUUACAAAGUAAAGACAACACAAGGACCCUCUUAAGGACCCAAAUCACCUCUCUAGACAAACCCAGAGUGGCUUCCAACAGCCUCCUUCUCCCUCCUCCCCCCUUAUUUCUCUCUCCCGUUACACUACAGACAGUUUGUACCAGCAAGAAAUUCAGGACAGAGAUAAGAGCUAUGCAAAGCAGAGUUGCAGAGGAGAGGAGAAGAAAGAGACAGAAUUGUUUAUGCAAGUGAAUUUUAUCUCCGUGAGCAAGCAAAUGGAAUCACAUCGAUUUUUUCUUUGUUACUCGUUUUGCAUCCAAUAGCUAAUUAUUCGCUUUUUAACCUUUGUUUUUGCCGUUCAGCGUCUCUGGAAAGUCCCUAUUCCUUGGUUACAGUUAGACACAAAAUAACUAAGCUAAGCCUUAAACCACAGCAACCGGCCUCCUGCUUCCCCUGGGAAGGAGCUGGGAGUCUCCUGCUGCCCACUCCUCCAUCACUGCCUGAGUACACAAGCAGGGGCUCAGCAGUGACAUCCUCCCAUCCUAAUGCACACUUUUAGCGCCUCACCAAAUUCCAUUGUGCCGCUUAGCUAAAUAACAAAGUUACCAAUUACCCUUGAACAAAGGCCCCAUUAAUGAAGCAAUUAGGAUAACAAUUAUCAGAUACAGGCCAAUUAGCCAUUUCAGUAGCAAUUAUGCUAUUAGGUUACCAGUCACGACAUCCCAUACACGAGCUAAAAAUCCUCACAAACUCUUUUAUUUUAAAAAGUCGAAGAAAAACAUAGUGAAAUAACACAAAAACAGCAGGGCAUGAUUCAGGCAAUCAGUGGGUGUUUUUACUGCUGUAUUAUAUUACAUGUAGCAGCUAAAAUGAAGUUGCUUAUUUUGGAAUUUAACCUUUUAUUUUUAUCUAAAUAAAAUGUUUUGUACCCUCAAAAAGAUUUUUUUUUUCCCCCAAAACCAACACUGGAGAAUAUUACUCUACAAGGAAUUUGAUUCCCUUCCAGACUGACAUGGUAUGAGAAAACAAGCAUUAUUUUCAUAAUAAAUACCAUACCCACAUUUUCCCUCAGAGCUGACUGAUGAAGUCCUGAACACUAUCUAAAGUCCCAUGCCGAAGUAGUAUUUCUGGUGUCAAAUGAGACUUUCCAAAAGUGUGUAAUUUUAGCUCUUGAGCCAGGAUGGAGCCAAUGAAAGAAGCACAUGCUGAAAGCAAAGAUCUCCUUAGGGUGGAUAUAGGAAAAGGUGGAAACUUCAGAAAAGAAAUGAAGCUUGCACCUGAAGAGCUCUAAACUUAGAGCCGAGGGAGAGGAAGGGCUCACCUCGCCCCCACUCCAACUGCUCAUGAGAUGUGAUUACCUGUAAGGGUGUGUGCAGGAAUGAGCUUGUCCCCAAGGGGACACCAAAGAGGGUAACAGUGGACUUCUGUCAUACAUCAUUAGCGAAAUAGCUUACAGAAGCUCGGUUUGCUGGGAGGGGAAGAGCAAGUCUCACAACUGUGGAAUUCACCCUCCAGCCUGAUGCUCCCCUUGCAUCAGCCUCUCCCAAAACCCAGCAGCCACUGCUGCCGGAGGUGAAGUUUCACUGCACGAGACCCAGAGUGGGUGAUGGAUGUCUGAAACCUGCAUCUAAUGCUCAGCAUGGUGAGACACAUUUGUAUCUGCUUCCUGACGCUGUGGCAUGACUGGGAAAAAUGAUAAGGCAGAAGCAAUUGUUACUACUGCCAGAAGGCAGGCUGCAGUCUCUCAGUGCUGGCUCUGGGCAGAAAUCAGUUCUUCUCCAAAAUGGAUGGUGAUACUUGCCACUUUCUGGAAAACAGCAUGAGUGGAAAGAGCAAGCCUAGAAUUGCACAUAUUUUUUUCUACCUGCAAAACACCUCUAAUCCUUCAGAUCUGAAUAGCUGAUCUACAACAAUGGGAGCAUGGCUACUGAGUGCAGACAGGAGCAGUGAGCACGAAUAGUGAGCAGUUAUUAAACCAGACAUAGUAAUGAAGCCAAAGGCAAUGGGAUCCAAAACUAAUUCAGUUGCCUAGCUGGCCUCUGCUGGAGACAGUGUCUGGUGAAUAUGCACCUGUCCAAAAAAGGAGAUGUCUGUGUUGGAAAGCUGAAUCUCUGGAAUUCAAAGUAGAAGUGUGGAAAGCCAGGAGAGUGGUGUGGAUUUCAUCUUGGCUAUCAGCUGGAAGUAUCAGCCUCGGAACAUAUCUUACAAGAUCAGGCUCUGGAAACUUCCUUUAAAGAUAUGGUCCCCAUGAAAUGAAUAAAAUUUAGGCAGCUGGCUUGGACCAAACAGUUGCAAACCCCCCUAACAAUAACACUAUAAAAACAUUAGCAAAUCAGAGAGAGUGAAAACCUGUUUCAAAACUUAAGGAAUAAUGUUUUCUAGGGUACAAAAUUGUUAAGAACUUUUUUCCUAUCAGUAACAAAAAGAAAACACACAAAGCAACAUAAAGAACACUGAAUGGAACCAGUAGCAUCCACCCCACAGACAGGCACCUUUGUAGGAUUUCACAGGGGUUUUGCUUAUAUAGCAAAUUACUUUUGUGUUCUCAGAGUACCUGCACCACUCAUUUCCAAUCAAUUUGUUUUACAGACUCCAGAGUUUUCCCCAGUGAACCUGUGGACCAGGUACAGUAAGCUGAAACCCACUGAAAAUAUUUGCCUCUCCACAGCUGCCUGCCCUGGAUACUUGUAAGCCAGGGCUCUACAGGACAUGGAUUGAAUAUUUAUGAGCCAUGUGGUGGGCAAACCUCUCCUUCUUACCUAUGCUUGGUGGUCUGCAGAAGACACCUUAAAAAUACCAUGGCACCACUCUGCUUCCUGUCUACUACCCAAGGAAGCAGCAGAGGCUGAGGGCUCAGUAAGUUUUUGUGAUGAGUGAGUUAGCACUGAACACUGAAGGUAUUUGUUGGGGAUUAUUAACACAAUAGUGGCACAACCCUGAGGGACUGCAGAAUAGCUUAGGUUGGAAGGGACCUUACAGAACAUCUACUCCAAUUGCCCUACCAUGGGACAAGAAUGCCUCUCAACUAGACUUGGUUGCCCAAGGCCUCAUUCAGUCUGGCCUUAAGCAUCUCUAGCGGCGGGGCAUCCACAACCGUUAUGGGCAGCAUAUUCCAGAAUCUCACCACCCUCAUACUGAAGAACUUCUGCCUAAGAUCUACUCUAAAGCUACUCUCCCUCAGCUGAAAACCAUUCCCCCUAGUCCUGUACCUAGACACCCUUACUAGAAAUCCCUCUCCAGCUUUCCUGUAGGCUACUGGAAGGCAGCUAUAGUGUUCCUCCAGAGUCUUCUCCAGGCUAAGCAACCGCAGCUCCCUUAGCCUAACCUCAUAGCAGAGGUGGUCCAGCCCUUCAGUCAUCCAUGUGGCCUUCGUCUGGAUUUGCUCCAAGAUACAACUGUGUAUCUGUAUGUGGGCCCUAGAAGAGACCCUGGAGAAGUAUCAGUAUUGUCUUGGGUCUCUUCAUUGUCCUGGGCUUUGGCAAAAGAUUGACUUGUAGGAAGAGAGCUGCUGAGAAAUGCAUGACCACUGUUAAAAACCCACUGCAGACCAAGCCUGCCAAGCACACAGACAAGUUCAAGUUUGACAUGUGCCUCCACAUCUUUGAAAUAACCUUCCUUCCAGAAGGGUUGGACAUGGUUUGGUUUUGCUUGCAGAAUGCACAUCAAUGGGUUUACUGGCAGCUCCGAUGCCCCAGAUAAAUAAAGGAAUAAAUAAUAACAGCAGAUGGACACACCAAGAGUGCUCCAGCUGGAAUCAUACUGGCCCUGUCUGAAGCAUCAGCAUGCAAAGGAAGGAAUUCCAUUCUCCUGAGAGGCUGGGUUGCUGUGAUUAUUGAAUCGAAGAGUCUUCUUUUGUUCUACAUACAUGUGAAGUAAAUUUGGCAUGACUGAACUGCUGUUCAUGUGGUUGCUGAAAGCCAUCUUACAGCUCCAGUCUGGCUGCAAAAGCUGAGCAAAACAAAGCAGAAGAGAGGAACCAACUUAGCUGUGCCUACUGAAGCCUGCAUUUUGUUGAAGGACUUUUCUACACUCAUUGCAUUGCUCAAGCUCUUCUUCAGACCCUGGGAGACAGGACGAUGGCCAGAUGCACUGCCCUUCUCACAUCUGGGAAGAUGAUCUCAAGCUUCAUGCUGCCCUUUGGAGUCUCUUGCUAUGGGCUUCCUGCCUUCUGUCACUGCUGGAAUUGGGCUGAUACUUUAGUGAUGUGUGUGAAUUAUUUGGUUUGUUUAAUUGAAUAAAAAAAUCAGAGUUCUUUGACAUGCAGUUCCUCAGACACUGCUUUCUAAAGAAUACAUUAUUUUCUGAUCUAGAGCAUUGAAACUAGUUAAGUGUUGGACUAGCACUUAGAAUGCCCCCACAUGUGGGUGUUGCUGAGCCCUGUGCCACUUCACUACAUUCACAUGCUGUCUGUGCAGAAAACAUUUUGGGGGAGGAAACAUGCAUUUAUGCUGUUCUAACAGCUUUCUCUCCCAUACAAAAUACAACAUAAAAACGACACAGCAGGUACCAAUCCUCAAAAACAAUAAUGAAAGGGUACAGGCAAAUGACACAGCAAGCCAAAAGGUCAGAGUAUCACCCACUAACUGUAACAGCUACCUAAUUCUCUCCUUGGGCCCAGCAGAUAGAACAAGGGGGAUUUUUAACCAGCAGGCUCUGGGGAUCAAGCACUGAAAGGCAGCUUGAGUAUUCACCCCAAAAUGAGAAUGAAGUAAUCUAGAAUAGUAUCUGCCUCGUUGUGGCAAUGAGGGGGAUAAAUAGUAGCUGUUGUGCUGCAACAGGUCUCUAGGGAAGAGAAAAGAGGCUUCAGGUGGUUUUGGACAAGUAAUGCCAUGUGUCAUUUGUCUAUGUGCACACUCCUCCUCCUCCACACCUGCAAACAGUGGUGGAAAGAUACUGGGAUGCCACAUUAGCACUCCUUUCAAGCUUCUAACACCUCUGUUGGUAUGUUUACCCCAUCACCCUAUUAGAUACACAGGUUAGAACUUAGCCUUUUAUCCCAUGGUAGGACUCAUCCCCUUUCUACCAACUCUCCCCUCCACUGUUUAUCCACAGCCUAGGGUGGCUUUUCAGGACAUGGCUUAACGACCGUGGUAGUAGGCUGAUGGUUAGACUCACCCUUAGAGGUCUUUUUCCACAAAAGCAGUUCUAUGAGUCCGUGACCACUUUCCCAUUUUCAUCAUUUUCAAUCCAUGUGAUGUGUGUUCCACACUCAGCAACUACACCACUACUGUCUCAUAGGUGGGCAUAAAUCCAUGCAUACACACAUGUCUGCAUAAACUCCUCCUUCCUACAAAUACAAACAUAUGCUUAAAUAUUAAAAGAGCUGCAAAGCUACUUCUGUAAUUCCCUAUCUAGCUAUUUUUUAAAGAGAUGACUAGUAGCUUGAGUGUCCAACACAGCUGAUUGUCAGAGAAGAGCACUUUAGGGGGGGAAAUAGAUUUAAAAAAAUCAGCAAAUGUAACCAAAACAAUAGAACAAAAGGGAAUGAAAAUUUAGACCACUGCCUACUAUAUGAAGGAAACUGCAGACACCCCAGGUACCAUAAGAGCAACUAUUAGAUAUUGUACCUAUCAAAAAGAUUACUUACAUGCAGACCUGGCUCUGUCCUGGGAGCAGCAGCUCCUUCAGCUUAAUCCUAGCUGACCACUGCAUUUAACUAUUUAAGGAGCAUAGGAGAGGAGUGGCCUCUGCUUCUUGCCUCUAGCAAGUAAUCACAGGCACAUUAUGUAUGAGGGAGUGUCAGCAAAGCAAUGUGGUAACAGGUUACAAUGGGGCCGUGAGUCUCCUACUGCAUGGGUGCUCCAGACAAGUGUCUGUACGUGUUGUCUUAUGCAGGGGGUGAGAAUAGCAUGGAAAUAGACUCAGCUGCCUCAACACUGGGCAAAAUAAACCAUAAAGGCUUCUCUGGAAGGGUGCUUCCUGCUGGACACAUCCCUUGUUAGAGUACAUUGUGGGCCUGGGGUGAUUUUAGUUAUUCAUCAUAGAUCUGCCAUUUUUAGAGGCACUCAAAAGUAAGAAAGAAAGCAGAAGUGUCCUAUACCUUCCCACCCUUCCCCAGCAAUGUUUGGCUCAUACCACCUCCUUAUGCCACAGAAAAGAGGCUAUGCUGUUGUGCCUCUUGUUCAGUGUGCACCUACAUCCCUGCUCAUCCUGAUUUACCCUUCUGGUGAAAGAAUGGGGAAAGAAAGUAGCCAGGAGUGGGAAAGGAUACUGGAUGAAGCAAUCUCACUAUCUUUCAUCUUGUAUUUUCCUGCCCCAAACCCUUAUAUCCUGUUUUGCCAGCUGGGCAUGGGUGUUUUACUCCAUUCAUACACCCUCUCCAUGGCAAAACAACAGGAGUUACACCCUUUCAUGGACAAGUCCCCUUUCAAGAUCAACACAUAACACCAACUUAUGGCUUGCAACAUCUCUAAUUUAACUUGGACUUUACCAUGGGAGCCACAGACAACUGCUGUCCUGGGAUUACUUUGUGCAACCAGAACAAGUGAAGGCAGCUGAGGCAGGAGGAGGGCUCAUGCUAGAGACAGCUUUUUUCCUUCUGUGGAAAGCAGCGGGGAGGAGGACUGUUAAAGGUCCUCACAGCAGCAGGGUAUGUCUGCCUUCAGGAAGUAGCAGCAGCUUUUGCUAUUAAAUCACAGUCAGACAGAUUCAUAAAUUUUCCUUCAGGACUGAAUUCAAACCACUCAUUUUUUCAUGUCUAAUCUUUUCUGAAUAACACACAGUCCUCUGACUGUACCAGCGGCUUGUUAGCUGAGCUGCACCUUUGGCUAACAAGUGCAGAAACAGGAUAAAAUCAGAAGUGGGAAGCUACUGGUUGGAGGAAAGGAGACUUGAUGGUUUCCAGGCAGCAAGAUGAUGGGGAAAGAGAGGCUGAGUGACCUCCCUCGUGUGCCUUCCCCCAUUUGUGUAUAAUCCUCACUGCACUAGACUGCCAGAGCUGUUUUACUGCUAACUCCUCACUCUCAGAGCAAAAUGUGAUACUAAGAGUAUUACUGGUUUAAAGCCACAGGUGUUGUAAGAGCCAAGAUCCCAGCAGAUACGUGAAACAUCAUUAGGCCUGUCUAUUGGGUCUUGGAGCAGGUAAAGCUGAAGACUUGAGAUAUCUGAAUGAACCAGGAGGACACGAUGCACACCCAGGUGGAGGUGCCAGCUAGUGCCAGGGAGCAACGUGUUUGAGUCAGCACAGCUUAUUUGCUGGCUUCCCUGCAGGUCUAGUCAUGGUAGACCCAGGGCUACACUGAAGUUACUGUCUUGUUUCCAGUCUUGGAGGAAGUGUGAUUGCGGCCAGGGAAAGGUGAGCUUCACACCUUGUCCUUUUGCCCUACAUAGCUCCCUUGCAGCUCCUGUCCCCACCCCUAUGGCUACCUGGAGUGUGUUAAUGGAAAACCCACCUGUUUUCAAACCUCUUCCCUAGUUUUGUUGGUCCUUUUUCUUCAAAACAAAAUUAAGUGUUAAGGUACUGAUAACAAAGCCCUUGGUGAUGAUGGCCAUCUGAUCACCUGCACAACACUGAAGUAUAGGCAACACAAACGUACACUAAGGAUGGGAUUUGUUUCACUGCCUUGGACUCUGUGGGUAAUUUCCCUGCUCAGUGGGAAAAGAUAGCUGGCCAUGAAGGAUGAUGAGUCCCUCUCUCAGCACAACAUGCCCCCAAGCUUGCUUGCUAGUGAUUGUGAUUAGCCUUGCACCUAACUUGAUGACAAUAAAAACAUUAUGAGAUGGACUCACCCCUCAGUCACCCCAAAGCAAAGAAUGUAGGAUUUUCACUUGUCUUUCCAAGGCAGGACAGCAAGGGACCCAUGUCACCCAGAGAAAACAUCCAGAUGCCAUUCUCAGUAUGGAACAAAGGAGCUGGAGUUUGGGGGAUGUAGAGGGGUUGGGGAUGUGAGAUGGAGCUAAGUGUGUGACAGGAAUUCUGAGAGUUCAUGACAGGACUGUAUCCCAUUGCCGUGUGGAUGGAGAGAGGCAUGUAGUCACAGCCAUGUGUCUUGACCAGGAAGAAGCACUCAGCAUCUGCUGCAGGGUGACAGCUUCCUUCCUCCACCCACAGCCUUGGAAGUCUGUGGUGGUGCCAGGUAACACCUUUCUUUUUUUUUUUUUAAAUGAAUGAAGGGUGAGGGAACAGGUUUGGAGCAUGAGCAUAAAAGUACAGCCAGAAAAGGGAAUCUUGACAACCUUUCAGUGAAGAAGUAUGAACCCUGCAAGAAGCUGGGAAGCUUCCAUCAGCUCUAUAGCGGAUAGAUCAGGGCACAUUAGUUGAAGGUCUGGUUUUAUUAGUACAGAGGUUUCUUUAUUUAAGGGGGAAAAAAGAUAACCUAAAGAAACAAUACACAUCAGCAAGGCUAUUUUAUUAGUAUUUUUGUACAAAUGCUGGAUUUUACAAUGUUCAUAGAAUCAGUCAAGGUUCAAAGGGACCACAAGGGUCAUCUAGUUCCAACCCUCCUGCCAUGGGCAGGGACACCCUGCCCUAGAUCAGGCUGGCCAGAGCCUCAUCCAGCCUGGCCUUAAACACCUCCAGGGACAGGGCCUCAACUGCCUCCCUGGGCAACCCAUUCCAGGGUUGUUGUCAGCUGUGUAGUGAGAAUCAAAGCCCUGGAGGGGAUUUAGUAGCUGGUGGGAAUUGAAAUAAUCAUCAUGAUUACACUCUUCCAGGACCAAGAACUCCUGGAAGUAUAUGCAGGACAUGACCAAGAGAGGCAGACGUCUUUAAAAUCCUAGGGGUUAGAGGGAGCCAGGAUGGAGGAGUCGUCACGCUGCUGACAGGCCCAGAUGAGCUUCGGGCUCGAAGCAUUUCCCAUGCACACUUUCCUCUGCAGCGUGCUCGCUUGUUUUCCAUGCUCUCACCCCCGUGGGAUAUGAGGUGGAUCAUGUCUUCAAGUGAUAUUUCCUGUCGAGCCAGAGUGACUUGCCUGUCUUGGAGGAAGUGGGAUGAAGGAAUGUCUGGAUCUAAGAUGAGCGAUGAAGCAUCCCUCACGUGGCCAAGUCCUGCAAACAGACCACACUGGCCGCUGGGGAGGGGACAGUUGGGGCAGUCAGGACCUCAACCCCAUGUGGUUCCUUGCAUGCUAGCCCUGUGACUUCACCAAAAAAAAAUCUAGGUCAUGCCCUGACAGGUAUUUCUUCCAGGAAUGAACCAUACCCAAGACAGGAGUUCUGAGGGGUGCCCCUUUCCCAGCAAUCCUUCUAGAGAUUGCUGUUAGCUGAAGAGCCCCAAGGCGGCUCAGAGGCAGGACCUUGCUUGCCUAUGCGGCAAAUGCACAGUCCCCAGGAGGCUGGCAUUAGGGUUAGGGUGCUCUGCAAGCAACUGGAGGCAUCAGCAUUGGAGGAGAAAUAUGUUGAAUUUGCAGAGAGUUAGACAAGAACUGAGGAGGAUUUGUUAGAGUACUGAGCUGUUUUACAUAGAAAACUCCUUCCCAGGACCCUGUUUGGACAGGGCAAUAAUCUUCUGUGUCCCACUGCCAGUUUCCUACUGGUGGUGGCUGAGUCACCUUGGCUUCCUAGAAGAGGUUAAGGAGCAGUUACUCGUGGUGGCUGAGAGUGAGGGCUGCAGGUAUUGUCCUCAGUGCAAGGCCUUUCACACAGGUCAGACCAUGUCACAAACCACAGUGCCCAAGCUCCUGGGGCUGAAAACGAGCUGGAGCUUUCAUUUUGUUGUUGCAAUAGCAGGCCUUGGGCUAGUCCUGGCUGUCUGGUGACUUAUUUCUCUCCAAGCCGAAGUGUAGGGGUGAGAAAAAGCUUGCCUGAAUGCUUGAGUAUUUAUGCGAAACACUAUUGCAGCCCUGAUUGUACACUGGGGCUAAGUGGAAACAACAUGGUGCUGGCACAUCAUCAGCUCAAAGGUCUCUGCUCCAUGCUCAGGCACUGCACUGCAGUCACACGACUCACUCCUUCUUAAUUGUUCUUUCCUACAGGACUUUUAGAUAUUCCCAACAGACCUCCCUGGUUCUCAAGGGAGGACACUGAAGAGCUACUUGUACACUGAAUACAUCAGAUGAAAGAAAAGAGCUUCUGCCUUCUGUGAGAUAUGCAGUCUUUUCCAACGUUUGUUUGCUGAUCUUUCUAAAUGCACUCAUCUUCCUUGGUACUCCAGUGUAGCAGACCUCAGCAGCUUUUGCUGCUCUUCUGUCAUGCUCAGACCCUCCCUUUGUCAGGAAAUUUCAUUUUAUAAUGGUCCCUGAGUGCUGCUGUAACCCCACAUUACGGAAGGCAGCUGC